CGCAAGUCACACCGCCCCGACACCCUUCACGCGCCGUCCAUCCCCUUCAUCUUCCGCCGCCGGCGAGCUUCUCCUCCUCCCCAUGCCGGCGGCUCCUCCCCACGUCGGCAGGAGCAACAUCACCUUGCGGGAGGCAACGAGGGGACGACGAGCGCCGGCGGUGGCUGAUGUGGAUCCAGCCGUCGAGGUUUGCCGGCGUUGUGAGGAUGGGGACAUGCGCGAGGAGAAGCUCCACCGCGGAGAGGAAGAGCUUGCCGGCAGUGCGGAGGAGAAGCUUGUCGGCAUGGGGGUAAGAUCUCGCCGGUGUGGGGAGAUUGCCGGCAUGUGUUGGGAGAAGUUCGCCGGCGUGGGGAGGUGCCGCCGGCGUGGGGCUCGCCGGUGUGGGGAGGAGCCGCCGACGUGGGGAGGAGGAGCCGCCGGGUGGGGAGGGGAAGGACGGCGUGGGGAGGAGGAGCUGCCGGCGUGGGAGAGGAGAAGCUCGACAGCGACGGAAGAUGAAGGGAUGGACGACACAUGAAGGGCGUCGGGGCGGCGUGACUUGCGAAGGGACGGAGUGUCACGGAAUGGAACAAUUCGCGUUCUCAGUGCCUGGAGCAAUGGCUGGAGUACUGCCCGAGAGAGGAGAAUAAGUUCACUCAUCACCUGCCCCAUCUGCAAGUAGCCGUGUGGCGUCGCCCACACCCGACCUGCCUCUUCUUCCAGGUCACCGGAGCGUGCCGUGCCCCACACAGGUCGGCUCCUCCCACGCGGCACGGCGGCAGGAGCCCGAUGCGCGGGCCGGGGCCGACCCGGAAGAGCUCGUCGCCGAGGUUGACCGGCUGGAGUAGAAGGCCACCUCCCUCGACAGGGUGCUCGACGAGCAGCACGAUAGGAUCCAGAAACUCAACGCUAUGGCGAGCGGUUGCUAUGUGGAGGGAGAAGGCGUGGCAGCCAAGGUGAUGAAGGAAUUGAGGGAGAAAGAAUGUGUUCAUCAGUUGCUCAAUGCAAAAACAGAAGUAGAAUCAAUCGAUUUAGAUUCAGCAAGAUGAAUGGAUUUUUGAUUCAGCGGUCAUGUUUGAUAUCCCUGGUUCUUCAUCUGCUCAAUUGUUCAUGGAUUAGUGAAAUUGAUUUGUUCUCCAUGGCAGGAAUUGUGGAUGAAGACAUCAGAAUGUACGCAUAUGGCAGGUUACAGUAGAAGAGCCUCCAAUUGGUGAAGGAACUACCAACAUGAAGCUGUAUACUUUUCAUUUCCACCUAUAACAUGCAAAUGUUUAUAUUCGACUAGCCUAGAGCUGGUGCGUUGCAACAGAAAACACAUUAAGUUUUUACCUUAUUAAA